UCCAUAUCAGGGUCCUGCCCCUGAGCAGC
rnacentral:piRNA from 1 species